AAGUCGUAACAAGGUUUCCGUAGGUGAACCUGCGGAAGGAUCAUUUUUGAAAUAAACCCGAUGUGGGUUGUAGCUGGCCCUCUCUCUCGGGGGGUAUGUGCACACCCCUCAUCUUUAUCUUUCCACCUGUGCACUUUUUGUAGACUGAUGUAACACUUUCCGGGCAACUCGGUCGGGAGGAAUGCUGUCAAGCUUUCCUUGCAUGCCAGGCCUUGCUUUCAUAUACCCCAAAAAAUGUAACAGAAUGUAUCAUUGGGCCUUGUGCCUAUAAACUAUAUACAA
rnacentral:misc_RNA from 1 species